rnacentral:piRNA from 1 species
UGCUUAUUUCCUCUAUGAUCAAACUAGGGA